GGGGCCAUAGCUCAGCUGGGAGAGCGUUUGACUGGCAGUCAAAAGGUCGGGAGUUCGAUCCUCCCUGGCUCCACCA
rnacentral:tRNA from 1 species